rnacentral:rRNA from 1 species
AGCAGCCGCGGUAAUUCCAGCUCCAAUAGCGUAUAUUAAAGUUGUUGCAGUUAAAGAGCUCGUAGUUGAAUUUCGGGGUCAGUAGAUUGGUCGUGCCACUGGUAUGUACUGGUCUUACUGGCUCCUCCUUCCUGAUGAACCGUAAUGCCAUUAAUUUGGUGUUGCGGGGAAACUGGACUGUUACUUUGAAAAAAUUAGAGUGUUUAAAGCAGGCUAACGCUUGAAUACAUUAGCAUGGAAUAAUGAAAUAGGACGUUCGAUCUUAUUUUGUUGGUUUCUAGGAUUGACGUAAUGAUUAAUAGGGAUAGUUGGGGGCAUUAGUAUUCAAUUGUCAGAGGUGAAAUUCUUGGAUUUAUUGAAGACUAACUACUGCGAAAGCAUUUGCCAAGGAUGUUUUCAUUAAUCAAGAACGAAAGUUAGGGGAUCGAAGACGAUCAGAUACCGUCGUAG